ensembl:lncRNA
UUUUGAAGUAACUAGCUAAUCAUCAAAAACAUCUUAUAGUUUUGAAGUAACUAGCUAAUCAUCAAAAACAUCUUAUGGUUUUGAAGUAACUAGCUAAUUAUCAAAACAUCUUAUAUUUUUGAAGUAACUAGCUAAUUAUCAAACACAUCUUAUAGUUUUGAAGUAACUAGCUAAUUAUCAAACACAUCUUAUAGUUUUGAAGUAACUAGCUAAUUAUCAAAACAUCUUAUGGUUUUGAAGUAACUAGCUAAUUAUCAAACACAUCUUAUAGUUUUGAAGUAACUAGCUAAUCAUCAAAACAUCUUAUAGUUUUGAAGUAACUAGCUAAUUAUCAAACACAUCUUAUGGUUUUGAAGUAACUAGCUAAUCAUCAAAAACAUCUUAUAGUUUUGAAGUAACUAGCUAAUUAUCAAACAUCUUAUAGUUUUGAAGUAACUAGCUAAUUAUCAAAACAUCUUAUGGUUUUGAAGUAACUAGCUAAUUAUCAAAACAUCUUAUGGUUUUGAAGUAACUAGCUAAUUAUCAAAACAUCUUAUGGUUUUGAAGUAACUAGCUAAUCAUCAAAAACAUCUUAUAGUUUUGAAGUAACUAGCUAAUUAUCAAAACAUCUUAUGGUUUUGAAGUAACUAGCUAAUUAUCAAAACAUCUUAUAGUUUUGAAGUAACUAGCUAUUUAUCAAAACAUCUUAUAGUUUUGAAGUAACUAG